AGAGUUUGAUCCUGGCUCAGGAUGAACGCCGGCGGUGUGCCUAAUACAUGCAAGUCGAACGCGUUGGCCCAACUGAUUGGACGUGCUUGCACGGACUUGACGUUGGUUUACCAGCGAGUGGCGGACGGGUGAGUAACACGUAGGUAACCUGCCCCAAAGCGGGGGAUAACAUUUGGAAACAGAUGCUAAUACCGCAUAACAAUUUGAAUCGCAUGAUUCAAAUUUAAAAGAUGGCUUCGGCUAUCACUUUGGGAUGGACCUGCGGCGCAUUAGCUUGUUGGUAGGGUAACGGCCUACCAAGGCUGUGAUGCGUAGCCGAGUUGAGAGACUGAUCGGCCACAAUGGAACUGAGACACGGUCCAUACUCCUACGGGAGGCAGCAGUAGGGAAUCUUCCACAAUGGGCGCAAGCCUGAUGGAGCAACACCGCGUGAGUGAAGAAGGGUUUCGGCUCGUAAAGCUCUGUUGUUAGAGAAGAACGUGCGUGAGAGCAACUGUUCACGCAGUGACGGUAUCUAACCAGAAAGUCACGGCUAACUACGUGCCAGCAGCCGCGGUAAUACGUAGGUGGCAAGCGUUAUCCGGAUUUAUUGGGCGUAAAGCGAGCGCAGGCGGUUUGAUAAGUCUGAUGUGAAAGCCUUUGGCUUAACCAAAGAAGUGCAUCGGAAACUGUCAGACUUGAGUGCAGAAGAGGACAGUGGAACUCCAUGUGUAGCGGUGGAAUGCGUAGAUAUAUGGAAGAACACCAGUGGCGAAGGCGGCUGUCUGGUCUGCAACUGACGCUGAGGCUCGAAAGCAUGGGUAGCGAACAGGAUUAGAUACCCUGGUAGUCCAUGCCGUAAACGAUGAGUGCUAGGUGUUGGAGGGUUUCCGCCCUUCAGUGCCGCAGCUAACGCAUUAAGCACUCCGCCUGGGGAGUACGACCGCAAGGUUGAAACUCAAAGGAAUUGACGGGGGCCCGCACAAGCGGUGGAGCAUGUGGUUUAAUUCGAAGCUACGCGAAGAACCUUACCAGGUCUUGACAUCUUGCGCCAACCCUAGAGAUAGGGCGUUUCCUUCGGGAACGCAAUGACAGGUGGUGCAUGGUCGUCGUCAGCUCGUGUCGUGAGAUGUUGGGUUAAGUCCC
rnacentral:rRNA from 1 species